rnacentral:lncRNA from 1 species
AUGAACCAAAAAUAUUGGAAUGAUUAUAAUUUUGAAUAUUCAUACAUCUCAUAUUAAAAUAAAAAAAAAAGUAAAAUUAAAUUAGCUUCUACAAAAUGAAUAGAGUUAUUCCUUAGCACAUCUAUAAUACACUGCUGUUUAUAUAAUUGUAAACAAUUAGCAACAAAAGUCUUCGUAAACAGAAAUAAACUAAUCGAGGAACUUACGCUCUCUAUCAAUAAACUAAUCGAGGAACUUACGCUCUCUAUCAAUUAGUUCUUCCUUUGUCUCUCUAGCAUUAGCCUUCCACCAAAUAUACUCAUUGCUAUCUAGCUGAAAACAAAAUAAAAGGACACUUAACAUAAAGAAAUGUGCCAUUUUAUACCAAACCACAAGGGUUCUUAAAUCAAAGUCAUGAAUUCUAGGAACAUGGCAGUGUAAAAUCAAUUGCAGAAAACAAAUGUUGUACAAAUACAGAGCAACACCAUGCACUUUUGCAUCAAAUAGAAACUGAAAAUAGAGAAAAUAAAAUAAAAGCCUAUGCAACUUGAUUCUUUAAUUUGAAAGCAUGAUAAGGAGUGAAGCAAAAGACAGUUACUAAUCAGCAAGAUUCACAAACUUGACAAAGGCAUUAAAAUAAAUGAGCACUAAAUUUUAGCAAUCAUAAUUAUUUAUACUCUAACUAUAUCAGAAUUGCAAAUUGAGCAAGCAAUAUAAUAUAAUUUGAAAUACUAACAACAGAAACAGCAGAAAGCACUUCUCCGAAAGGACUUUGCACAACAGUAACAAGAGAGUACACUGGGAUAACUGGGGCAAGAACAAGUGCAGAAUUUUGGAAGAAUGCAGCAGAUUCCGAAGUCGUCUCUAUCUUGGCAGCACGCAUUUUGAUUGAAGACAAGAGAAACUGAAACAGAUCCUCCUCCUCCAUUUUGAUUGAUGGAGGGAAGACAAUUGCACCUGCAGCAAUUGCAUGGCCUGCAGCAGUGAUACAAACAAAAUUAGGAAUCGCUCAGAGUUUCAAUCUUCAAAGCUAAAC